CCGUCCAACGCAGACAGCUUUUUACUAGCAUUGGGGAUAACCACCCGUGCCACAUCCGGGAUUGGCAGACCCACUCAUCAGUGGGAUUUGAACAAUGUCACCAUCUUCACACCAGCUGGUUUCUCCACUCCAGGAUGAGGUGCAAACGGAAGAGCCCCUGCUCAGCAAAUGUCCCAUCACAUGGGGGUUUUACAGCGGACUUUCCAAUACUAUAUUAACAAUUAACCCAGUCUUUAAGUUUCAGGCGCAGUUCCGAUUUGUUUUCACUAUAAAUGUUUUUACGCUUUCACUACACCACUGUGGUAAGGACCUAUACAGGUCAAAUGACCUCUAGAGAACACAGCAGGACCUAAGUUAUGUACCGUUCUAAGGAACAGUUUCCAACACACACAGUCUUCUCCCCCUACCCCCCUGAGCUUCGGGGUCAUGGAGCUCGUUUUAUUCCCACUUGGGCUAGAACACGCACCGACACUUGCCAACAGACAGGCAGCCCAGAUACACUUCUCGGAGUACACCUCCAGGUAGUAUCUCCAUACAAGCAGGCAAACUGGCAGACAGAUAGCCUGCACACAUAUAUGCUCCAGAUACAACGUGUUAUGCUCUGUAUGUUACGGUUAGUGGUCUCAGAUGUCUGCCAUGUUCUACACUUGAUUAUAAGCUACUGUAUAUCGACCUCUCUUCACCGAAGCUAUCUUAAACAUAAAUUAAAAAAUAGGUGUUAAAUUGCUGACAUGUUUGCUAUCAACACUGUACUACGCUAAGC